UGAGAUGAUAAAUAUUGAGCCAUUUU
rnacentral:piRNA from 1 species